GAGGGCACGGCGGCGAGGCCGGAGCAGGGGAACGUCCGUGUGACCCGAGCCUGAGCCCGAGCCCCAGGGGCCCCAGCGUCCCAGCGUCCCAAGCUGGACGGCUCAGGACUCUCCCGGCGGGGGCCUGCCGGUUCCACCACCCCGGCGCGCUCGCCCUCUCACCUUCACCGUCCCGGCCUCGAGGCGGCCAUCACACCCACGACGUCACUAGCUGGCGCCACACCGAGAGAAGAGGGAGGGGAGGGGGCUGCGCUCGUCACUCGCCCCGCCGCAACCCAGAUGAGCUGAUGGCUUAGGAGCUCAGUUACUUCAACCCUACCACUCCUAUGCGACAGCGUCCAGAGGCUCCGCGCUCUAAAGGAAGUCUCCGCGUGCCUGGUCUCAUGCAGCCCUGGCUGAGCUACGGGACUCUAUACAUCUUUGGGAAGCAGAAGUGAUGUGGAAGGUGAAGGAGUCAGGGGUGACUCGUUUCUCCAGCACAGCUGGACGGCCCUUCAACAAAGUGAGGAAGACAUCCCUCAGAGGCUCUCUUUGAGACUGUAUGCAUUUGGAACCCAUGACCCGCAGUGAGUGUGACUUCACCCCUGCAACAGAACGUGCUAGAAGCAGCCCCCAAGACAUCAUCUGUGGGAGGCCCCAGAAGGCCCUCUCGACCCCACUGUGAGGCUGUGGUGCCUGAGGAGUUGGGGGUUGGGAGCUGGCCUGCCUGGCUAGAUCCUUGCAAACUCUGUGAAUCCCAGGGCCAGUCAUAACGGCACCUCUCCCUUCCCUACUAUCAAGUCCUGUGAAUCCCACUCCGACUCCUGUCCUUGGAGGGUGGGGGGCAGGCCCACUACUCUGUAGUGGUAUUUGCUUCGCCCAUGACCCUGGGCUGUACGGCCCAAAGGAGGCGGUGCUUGCUGC